GACAGUCGAGAUGAAAGAAGAGCUAGUAUAUGGUAGCCUUCAGCUACACCUCCUGAGAUGGGCUGCUGAGGGAUGGUCUCUGUCACCGCACUGGGGGUUCCUGGCACAGCUGGGAUCCUCACAGUUAUCUUGCUUCUUUUCCACCAUCUCCAACUCAACAGGAGAUCAAAGGAUGUUCCACCCAUAGUAAAUCAAGCCAGAGACUGCCAGUCUGGAGAACACAGCCAACGGACAACUGAAGGGAAAAUUAACACAACUGCACUUUCAUCAGCAACAGAGGUUAAUAAUGUUUUAAGAGUAGAAGUCACAUUUUCACUGGGUUCACAAUUACAAAAAUGGAGUCUGUGGUUUAGACAUCCAAUAAA